CCAGAGAUUUCCGAAUGGGGAAACCCAGCAUGAGUUAUGUCAUGUUAUCGAUAUGUGAAUACAUAGCAUAUCAGAAGGCACACCCGGAGAACUGAAACAUCUUAGUACCCGGAGGAAGAGAAAGAAAAUUCGAUUCCCUUAGUAGCGGCGAGCGAAACGGGAAGAGCCCAAACCAACAAGCUUGCUUGUUGGGGUUGUAGGACACUCUAUACGGAGUUACAAAGGACGACAUUAGACGAAUCAUCUGGAAAGAUGAAUCAAAGAAGGUAAUAAUCCUGUAGUCGAAAAUGUUGUCUCUCUUGAGUGGAUCCUGAGUACGACGGAGCACGUGA
rnacentral:rRNA from 1 species